rnacentral:rRNA from 1 species
UACGAAGGGGGCUAGCGUUGCUCGGAAUCACUGGGCGUAAAGGGUGCGUAGGCGGGUUCUUAAGUCAGAGGUGAAAUCCUGGAGCUCAACUCCAGAACUGCCUUUGAUACUGAGAGUCUUGAGUAUGACAGAGGUGAGUGGAACUGCGAGUGUAGAGGUGAAAUUCGUAGAUAUUCGCAAGAACACCAGUGGCGAAGGCGGCUCACUGGGUCAUUACUGACGCUGAGGCACGAAAGCGCGGGGAGCAAACAGG